CUUGUUACUAAGACAUUUGGGCAAGCAAGUCAGUUUGUAGGCCUGGACGUAGCUGAAGGCUCAAUACUGUAGAAUAUUGACUCUUAGAGAUCAAUAUGAAGAAAGGGCAUGGCAUUCACACAUCUCUCUCUCACACACACACGCACACACACACACCUUUUAAUAUACCAAGAAUGUUACAUUGUCCAUCUCUCUUUCCUUCCCUCCAUCUCACACUUCUGUUGAUUUAUGUAUGAAUGUUGUACUGCUAAACUGGACAUCACCCCACAUCUUUAGGAAGAUUAGCUGGUAUCAAGACUACUGUUGACCUUAUUCACACUGCUGUCCCUACACAUGCACAUACCUUCACAUUUACUUACAUUAUGUAAGUCUGACAUAGUGUUUAUGCACUGUUUCAACACUCCCCUGAUUGGCUUGUGUGGCAUCCUCUUUCUUUUCUGUGUUCAAGGAAGGCUAGAGCUGUUUAGUGAGGCCCACAGCGGAGCUGCAUGGUGAGACCCAUGGCAGAGGUAUAUAAUGAGGCCCAUGAUGGAGCUGCAUGAUGGGAUCCAUGCCAGAUAUACACAGUGAGGCCCACAAUCAAGCUGCAUGCUGAAACCACUAUAUGGCUCUGUAAUAUACAAUAGAAAGUUCACAGACAUAAUGUGUACCUGGUAAGCAUGCUGGAUAAAAUGUAUGGUUACUUUGUAACUGGGUGUUAAAUGUUAAUUUCAUUAAAAAAAACCACUAAGGUGAUGCAA